AGGCGAUCAGGACGACUCCCCCCGGCACCAGGUUCACACUCUCUCUCCGGUUCAGAAUCCAAUUCAUCUCAGUCCCCAUACUCACUUGGCUGGAAAUGCGGGCCAUGCCAAACCUGGCAGCAUCGCAAAAUGCGAGGAGGGUAGUGUGGAACUUCUAAAGGACACAGGCUGUUUGGAGAAACAAGUGGUCAAACUGUCAGGAAUUCAAUGAAGUGCUAUCUUAUCCCCACACCAUUCUAUCCAAGGAUGUUAUGACACACCUCUGGAGCAGGUGGGACUCAAAGCAAGGACUCCAAGAUCACAGGUGAUUUCUACGAAGAACAUGUGAUGACCAAAGCAAUUUGUAGAAGCAAUCCUGUUCUGGAUGAAGCAGGACAAAGGUAGAUUUCAUACUCGACUUCAGGCUUCAUUUCCAGGAAGAAUUGGGCACGCCGUUCAACAAGGAGAAUUUUGAUUUAGUUGCUGUGUUGUCAAAAGUAAGUCAGGGAGGUGGGAAAGCAAAUGGGAGGGAGGGUCACAAUCAGGAUACCUGAACGAGAUGGGGUUGAAUGGGAGUGGAGCAGAAAAGUAUUUCACAGUGCAAUUAAUUAUAGGAGGGCCAUUCAUGCAUCUCCUGGUCCCACUUACCAAUUCAUUAGCUUUUGAUGCCAAACACCAGAAGGCUGUACGGACCACUUGUUAGAGCACAUGUAGAUCUUGUGUAAAGUUUUUUGGAUGACAGGAAAUGCAUGUCCACAGCCAUUUAACGCUGAGAUAACAGAUUAGCCAGAAAACAGUGAAAUCCUGGCAGUUGACUGCAUCAGUGACUAAAUAUAGGUAUCGUUACAAAUGACAAAGUUAAAUUUUACAUUACCUUGCAACAAAAGGCAUUCAACAUUUAAUUACCUCAUGAGGGUUAGCAUUGAACGUAAGGCUGCCUUCAUCGAGUUGCAUGUAGAGUUUCCGGUAGCUAAAAUUUGAAGGAUGGUCUCUAUAAUAAAUGGAACAGUGACCCCAGGUGGAUUUACACAACCUGAAACAAAAUCCAUACAGCACAUUGGUAGUUUAUCAAUACUUGACUUUAACAAAUCAUUUUUACAUGGUUUUAUGAAACAGUUCCCAGUAAUUUUACAUAGAUUAAAUACUAAAUGUGCAGAAGCUAUUUAAUGGAUCUUCAUUAAAAUUGAUAAAAGUCUAUGUAAUAGUCAAAGG